rnacentral:rRNA from 1 species
GAUAAUCUGUUUGAUUGUCUAUCCCAUUGGAUAACCGUGGGAAAUCUAGAGCUAAUACGUGCAGUUAAUUGGUGUACUUUCGGGUGCGCCAAAGCAUUUAUUAGACUAAACCAUCUACUGUACUUCGGUGCAGUAAGGGGAAUCUGGAUAACUUUGCUGAUCGUAUGGCCUAGUGCCGGCGACGUUUCAAUUGAGUUUCUGCCCUAUCAACUUGUUGGUAAGGUAUUGGCUUACCAAGGUUGCAACGGGUAACGGGGAAUCAGGGUUCGAUUCCGGAGAGGGAGCCUGAGAAACGGCUACCACAUCCAAGGAAGGCAACAGGCGCGAAAAUUACCCAAUCUAGACAGUAGGAGGUGGUGAAGAGAAUUACUAAGUAGUGGUCCAAAGGAUCACUUGUUUGGAAUGAACGUAACUUAAGAAAUUCGUUGAGAAACAACUGGAGGGCAAGUCCUGGUGCCAGCAGCCGCGGUAAUUCCAGCUCCAGUAGUUUGCUUUAAAGUUGUUGCGUUUAAAACGCUCGUAGUUGGAUCACGCAGCGAUGCGCAGUAAUCUUUUGUUCGACGCUGAUUCCUGUGUCCGUCUCGAUACGGCCAUGGUUUCAGUCCGGCGGCUUUAGAUAAUCACGCUGAGCAUCGCUAGUUGCACGUGAGAUAGAGUGUUGGCCUUCAGUGUGCCGGUACUCUUGUCUUGCGGGGUGUGCCUUGAAUAAAACAGAGUGCUCAAAGCAGGCUAUUGCCCUGAAUGUUAUAGCAUGGAACGAACAAUCGUGUACAUGUGUGCGUCAUCUUUCGGUGACACGCCUUUGGCUUGUUGUUGUUGGAGACGCGCACGGCACCCACUAAAAUAUGGCUGUUGGUUCCAUAUACGGUGAUGAUUAAAUAGGAGCGGUUGGGGGCAUCGGUAUUUGGCCGCGAGAGGUGAAAUUCUUAGACCGGCCAAGGACUAACAAAUGCAAAGGCACUUGUCUAGACCGUUUCCAUUAAUCAAGAACGAAAGUGGGAGGUUCGAAGACGAUCAGAUACCGUCCUAGUUCCCACUGUAAACUAUGCCGACCUGGGAUCGGCUUAGAGAUGUUACAAGCUCUAAGUCGGUCCCCACUGGGAAACCUGAAGUUUUUCGGUUACGGGGAGAGUAUGGUCGCAAGGCUGAAACUUAAAGGAAUUGACGGAAGGGCACCACCAGGGGUGGAGCCUGCGGCUUAAUUUGACUCAACACGGGGAAACUUACCUGGUCCGGACAUCGAUAGGAUUAACAGAUCAAUAGCUCUUUUAUGAUCCGAUGAGUGGUGGUGCAUGGCCGUUCUUAGUUCGUGGAGUGAUCUGUCAGCCUAAUUGCGGUAACGAACGAGACCACAGUCUCCAUUUAAGAGAUGGAAGAAGGCGUGCGGUUGCCUCGAUGCCUCGCGGUGUCAGCGGCUGUACGUUGUAGUGAGGGUAGUUAGCUUUGUUGGCAGGCAUGUGGGGCAACUUAUGUGUUUGCUGGCAGAGCGGAUUAUUUCUACCUUCCAUCGCGCAGUCGUCGGUUCACACUGGCGGCUGCCUUAUGGAGAGACAACGAGGUAUAUACAAGCUCGAGGAAGAGUGGCUCUAACA